AUACGUAGGUGGCAAGCGUUGUCCGGAAUUACUGGGUGUAAAGGGAGCGUAGGCGGGGAUGCAAGUCAAAUGUUAAAACUAUCGGCUCAACUGGUAAGUGCGUUUGAAACUGCAUUUCUUGAGUGAAGUAGAGGCAGGCGGAAUUCCUAGUGUAGCGGUGAAAUGGGGAGAUAUUAGGAGGAAGACCAGUGGCGAAGGCGGCUUUCUGGGCAGUAACUGAAGCUGAGGCGCGAAAGCGUGGGUAGCAGACAGGAAUAGAGACCCUGGUAGCCCCAGCCGUAAACGAUGGAUACUAGGUGUAGGAGGUAUCGCCCCCUUCUGUGCCGGAGAUAACACAAUAAGUGUCCCACCUGGGGAGUACGGCCGCAAGGUGGAAACUCAAAGGAAUUGACGGGG
rnacentral:rRNA from 1 species